UACAGAGGUCUCAAGCGUUGUUCGGAUUCAUUGGGCGUAAAGGGUGCGUAGGUGGCGAGGCAAGUCAGAUGUGAAAUCCCGGGGCUCAACCCCGGAACUGCAUUUGAAACUGCCUUGCUCGAGUACUGGAGAGGAGACUGGAAUUUACGGUGUAGCAGUGAAAUGCGUAGAUAUCGUAAGGAAGACCAGUGGCGAAGGCGAGUCUCUGGACAGUUACUGACACUGAGGAGCGAAAGCGUGGGGAGCGAACAGG
rnacentral:rRNA from 1 species